UACGGGGGGGGCAAGCGUUGUUCGGAUUUAUUGGGCGUAAAGAGCUCGUAGGCGGCUUGUCGCGUCGACCGUGAAACCUCACAGCUCAACUGUGAGCCUGCGGUCGAUACGGGCAGGCUAGAGUUCGGUAGGGGAGACUGGAAUUCCUGGUGUAGCGGUGAAAUGCGCAGAUAUCAGGAGGAACACCGGUGGCGAAGGCGGGUCUCUGGGCCGAUACUGACGCUGAGGAGCGAAAGCGUGGGGAGCGAACAGG
rnacentral:rRNA from 1 species